rnacentral:lncRNA from 1 species
UUGAGAUUUGAUUGUUUUGAUCAAGAAAAUGCAGGAAUGAGUGGUUUUAGGGUGUCAAAUGGCAUAUCUCUGAAUUUGCUCUUUCUUUUUUUCUUUUUCUAGUUUCAAGAUUUGGAAUAGGUCAAUUUUGGGGGUUAUUGUAUUCAAAUUAGUGACAAUUGGAGAUUGUCAAAGGGAUGAGUUGAUAAUGGUUUGAGAACAUUUAGGUCUGUAAA